rnacentral:rRNA from 1 species
UACGUAGGCAGCGAGCGUUGUUCGGAAUUACUGGGCGUAAAGAGUGUGUAGGCGGUCUGUCGCGUCGGCUGUGAAAACCCGGGGCUCAACCCCGGGCCUGCAGUCGAUACGGGCAGACUAGAGUGCGGUAGGGGAGACUGGAAUUCCUGGUGUAGCGGUGAAAUGCGCAGAUAUCAGGAGGAACACCGGUGGCGAAGGCGGGUCUCUGGGCCGUAACUGACGCUGAGGAGCGAAAGCGUGGGGAGCGAACAGG